rnacentral:rRNA from 1 species
UUCCGGUUGAUCCUGCCGGAGGCCACUGCUAUUGGGAUCCGACUAAGCCAUGCGAGUCGAGAGGGUUCGGCCCUCGGCAGACUGCUCAGUAACACGUGGAUAACCUAACCUUAGGUGGAAGAUUACCUCGGGAAACUGAGAAUAAUAUUCCAUAGAUCUAGGAUGCUGGAAUGCAUCUAGAUUGAAAGUUCCGACGCCUAAGGAUGGGUCUGCGGACUAUCAGGUUGUAGUCAGGGUAAAGACCUGACUAGCCUACGACGGAUAUGGGUUGUGAGAGCAAUAGCCCAGAGACGAUAUCUGAGACACGAUAUCGGGCCCUACGGGGCGCAGCAGGCGCGAAAUCUUCACAAUGUGCGAAAGCACGAUGAGGGGAUCCCAAGUGCUGGCACGUAAGUGUCAGCUGUUUCUUAGUCUAAAAAACUGAGAGAGUAAGGGCUGGGUAAGACGGGUGCCAGCCGCCGCGGUAAUACCUGCAGCUCAAGUGGUGGCCGCUAUUAUUGGGCCUAAAACGUCCGUAGCCUGUUUAGUAAAUGCUUGGGUAAAUUGUAUAGCUUAACUAUACGAAUACCGGGUAGACUGCUAAACUUGGGACCGGGAGAGGCUAGAGGUACUCCUGGGGUAGAGGUGAAAUUCUGUAAUCCUAGGGGGACCACCAGUGGCGAAGGCGUCUAGCUAGAACGGGUCUGACGGUGAGGGACGAAGCCCUGGGGCGCAAACCGGAUUAGAUACCCGGGUAGUCCAGGGUGUAAACGCUGCUUGCUUGAUGUUAGUUGGGCUCCGAGCCCAACUAGUGUCGGAGAGAAGUUGUUAAGCAAGCUGCCUGGGAAGUACGGUCGCAAGACUGAAACUUAAAGGAAUUGGUGGGGGAGCACAGCAACGGGUGGGGCGUGCGGUUUAAUUGGAUUCAACGCCGGGAAUCACUAGUGCGGCCGCCUGCAGGUCGACCAUAU